rnacentral:rRNA from 1 species
AAAUUCAAGGAACUAAGAGUUUAUGGGGGAUACCUUGGCAUUCAGAAGCGAUGAAGGACGUGGUUACCUACGAUAUGCUUCGGGGAGCUGGAAACAAGCUAUGAUCCGGAGAUCUCCGAAUGAGGCAACUUUUAUACUACUUAUUGAAUUCAUAGAUAAGACAGAGCAAACCUAGAGAAUUGAAACAUCUUAGUACCUAGAGGAAAAGAAAGUAAAAACGAUUCCCUUAGUAGCGGCGAGCGAAACGGGAUUAGCCUAAACUUAAUUAUUAAUUAAGGGUAGUGGGACAAUAAAAAAAAUUAAUGGAACGGUUAGAAGAAUAAGUUUGGAAUACUUAACCAUAGAAAGUGAAAGUCUUGUACUCGAAAACUGAACCAAUUUAAUUGUAUCCCAAGUAGCAUGGAGCACGUGAAAUUCCGUGUGAAUCUGCGAGGACCACCUCGUAAGGCUAAAUAUUCCUGAAUGACCGAUAGUGAAACAGUACCGUGAGGGAAAGGUGAAAAGAACCCCGGGAGGGGAGUGAAAAGAACAUGAAACCAUAAACUUACAAGCAGUAGGAGGACGACUAAAGCGUCUGACUUCGUGCCUGUUGAAGAAUGAGCCGGCGACUUAUAGUUAGUGGCAGGUUAAGGUAGUGAAUACUGAAGCCAUAGUGAAAGCGAGCCUGAAUAGGGCGUUUGUCACUAGUUAUAGACCCGAACCCGGAUGAUCUAACCAUGAUCAGGUUGAAGCUUAGGUAAUACUAAGUGAAGGACCGAACCGACUGAUGUUGAAAAAUCAGCGGAUGAAUUGUGGUUAGGGGUGAAAUGCCAAUCGAAUUCGGAGCUAGCUGGUUCUCCCCGAAAUGCGUUUAGGCGCAGCGGUAAAUGUUAUAAUUUAGAGGUAAAGCACUGUUACGUAUGCGGGCUGGUAAUUCGGUACCAAAUCGUUGCAAACUAAGAAUGCUAAAUGUAGAGUUUACCAGUAAGACUGUGGGGGAUAAGCUCCAUUGUCAAGAGGGAAACAGCCCAGAGCACCAGUUAAGGCCCUUAAAAAUUACUAAGUGGUAAAGGAGGUGGGAGUGCAUAAACAAUCAGGAGGUUUGCUUAGAAGCAGCAAUCCUUUAAAGAGUGCGUAAUAGCUCACUGAUCGAGUAAACCUGCGCCGAAAAUGUAUGGGACUAAGUAAUUUGCCGAAACUGUGCGAUAUAUAAACAAAUUAAUAUAUCGGUAGGGGAGCGUUCUGUUGUAGAUUGAAGUACUAGCGUAAGCGGGUAUGGACGAAGCAGAAGUGAGAAUGUCGGCUUGAGUAACGAAAAUAUAGGUGAGAAUCCUAUACCCCGAAAACCCAAGGUUUCCUCCGGAAGGUUCGUCCGCGGAGGGUAAGUCAGGACCUAAGGCGAGGCUGAAAAGCGUAGUCGAUGGACAACGGGUUAAUAUUCCCGUACCAUUUUUAUUAAUAUCCUACAUCGAGGGACGGAGAAGGCUAAGCUAGCCGGAUAUUGGUUUUACCGGUUUAAACGUUCAAGAUGUUGAGAAGCGGUGAAAACGCUUUGAGUUGAGACGUGAAUACGAAACACUAAGGUGUUGAAGUAGUGUAUGUCAUACUUCCAAGAAAAGCUCGUAAUGUAGUUAAGUAAAAAUGCCUGUACCAUAACCGACACAGGUGGGUAGGUAGAGUAUACUAAGGGGCGCGAGAUAACUCUCUCUAAGGAACUCGGCAAAAUGACUCCGUAACUUCGGGAGAAGGAGUGCCUUAUUCUAUAAGGUUGCAAUAACAAGAUCCAAGCAACUGUUUAUCAAAAACACAGGUCUCCGCUAAGUCGUAAGACGAUGUAUGGGGGCUGACGCCUGCCCAGUGCCAGAAGGUUAAAGAAGUCGGUUAGCAAUAGCGAAGCUGGUAACUGAAGCCCUGGUGAACGGCGGCCGUAACUAUAACGGUCCUAAGGUAGCGAAAUUCCUUGUCGGGUAAGUUCCGACCCGCACGAAAGGCGUAAUGAUUUGGAUACUGUCUCGGAGAGGGACUCGGUGAAAUAGACUUGUCUGUGAAGAUGCGGACUACCUGCACCAGGACAGAAAGACCCUAUGAAGCUUUACUGUAACUUGAAAUUGAAAUUGGACUUUAUUCGCGCAGUAUAGGUGGGAGGCGUUGAUUAUAAUCUUGUGGGAUUAUUGGAGCCAUCAGUGAGAUACCACUCUUGUAAUGUUAGAUUUCUAACUUUGAAUCAUGAUCUGGUCAAAGAACAGUUUCAGGCGGGCAGUUUGACUGGGGCGGUCGCCUCCUAAACGGUAACGGAGGCGUACAAAGGUUUCCUCUGAACGGGUAGAAAUCGUAUCUAGAGUGUAAAGGCAUAAGGAAGCUUGACUGUGAGACCUACAAGUCGAGCAGGGACGAAAGUCGGUCUUAGUGAUCUGACGGUACUGAGUGGAAAGGCCGUCACUCAACGGAUAAAAGUUACUCUAGGGAUAACAGGCUGAUCUCCCCCAAGAGUUCACAUCGACGGGGAGGUUUGGCACCUCGAUGUCGGCUCAUCGCAUCCUGGGGCGGUAGUACGUCCCAAGGGUUGGGCUGUUCGCCCAUGAAAGCGGUACGCGAGCUGGGUUCAGAACGUCGUGAGACAGUUCGGUCCAUAUCCGGUGUAGGCGUUAGAAUAUUGAGAGGAGCCUUCUUUAGUACGAGAGGACCGAGAAGGACAUACCUCUGGUGUACCAGUUAUCGUGCCAACGGUAAACGCUGGGUAGCUAUGUAUGGAGUGGAUAACCGCUGAAAGCAUCUAAGUGGGAAGCCCACCUCAAGAUAAGUAUUCUCAUCACGUAAGUGAGUAAGAUCACGGUAAGACUAACCGUUUGAUAGGCAUUAAGUGUAAGUACAGUAAUGUAUGUGCUAAGAUGUCCUAAUAGAUCGAGGACUUGAAUUU